rnacentral:rRNA from 1 species
AGUGAACGCUGGCGGCAGGCCUAACACAUGCAAGUCGAGCGGCAGCGCGUCCGACCACCCUCGGGUGGUCGGAUGGCGGCGAGCGGCGGACGGGUGAGGAAUGCAUCGGAAUCUGCCUCGUUGUGGGGGAUAACGUAGGGAAACUUACGCUAAUACCGCAUACGACCUACGGGUGAAAGUGGGGGACCUUCGGGCCGUCACGCGAUGAGAUGAGCCGAUGCCGGAUUAGCUAGUUGGCGGGGGUAAAGGGACCCGACCAAGGCGACGAUCCGUAGCUGGUCUGAGAGGAUGAUCAGCCACACUGGAACUGAGACACGGUCCAGACUCCUACGGGAGGCAGCAGUGGGGAAGUAUUGGACAAUAGGGCGCAAGCCUGAUCCAGCCAUGCCGCGUGCGGGAAGAAGGCCU